CUACGGGAGGCUGCAGUGGGGAAUAUUGGACAAUGGGCGCAAGCCUGAUCCAGCCAUGCCGCGUGAGUGAUGAAGGCCCUAGGGUUGUAAAGCUCUUUCACCGGUGAAGAUAAUGACGGUAACCGGAGAAGAAGCCCCGGCUAACUUCGUGCCAGCAGCCGCGGUAAUACGAAGGGGGCUAGCGUUGUUCGGAUUUACUGGGCGUAAAGCGCACGUAGGCGGACUAUUAAGUCAGGGGUGAAAUCCCGGGGCUCAACCCCGGAACUGCCUUUGAUACUGGUAGUCUUGAGUUCGAGAGAGGUGAGUGGAAUUCCGAGUGUAGAGGUGAAAUUCGUAGAUAUUUGGAGGAACACCAGUAGCGAAGGCGGCUCACUGGCUCGAUACUGACGCUGAGGUGCGAAAGCGUGGGGAGCAAACAGGAUUAGAUACCCUAGUAGUC
rnacentral:rRNA from 1 species